rnacentral:rRNA from 1 species
AUGAACGCUAGCUACAGGCUUAACACAUGCAAGUCGAGGGGCAGCAUGAACUUAGCUUGCUAAGUUUGAUGGCGACCGGCGCACGGGUGAGUAACACGUAUCCAACCUGCCGAUGACUCGGGGAUAGCCUUUCGAAAGAAAGAUUAAUACCCGAUGGCAUAGUUCUUCCGCAUGGUAGAACUAUUAAAGAAUUUCGGUCAUCGAUGGGGAUGCGUUCCAUUAGGUUGUUGGCGGGGUAACGGCCCACCAAGCCUUCGAUGGAUAGGGGUUCUGAGAGGAAGGUCCCCCACAUUGGAACUGAGACACGGUCCAAACUCCUACGGGAGGCAGCAGUGAGGAAUAUUGGUCAAUGGACGAGAGUCUGAACCAGCCAAGUAGCGUGAAGGAUGACUGCCCUAUGGGUUGUAAACUUCUUUUAUACGGGAAUAAAGUGAGGCACGUGUGCCUUUUUGUAUGUACCGUAUGAAUAAGGAUCGGCUAACUCCGUGCCAGCAGCCGCGGUAAUACGGAGGAUCCGAGCGUUAUCCGGAUUUAUUGGGUUUAAAGGGAGCGUAGGCGGACGCUUAAGUCAGUUGUGAAAGUUUGCGGCUCAACCGUAAAAUUGCAGUUGAUACUGGGUGUCUUGAGUACAGUAGAGGCAGGCGGAAUUCGUGGUGUAGCGGUGAAAUGCUUAGAUAUCACGAAGAACUCCGAUUGCGAAGGCAGCUUGCUGGACUGUAACUGACGCUGAUGCUCGAAAGUGUGGGUAUCAAACAGGAUUAGAUACCCUGGUAGUCCACGCCGUAAACGAUGGAUACUAGGUGUAGGAGGUAUCGACCCCUUCUGUGCCGCAGUUAACACAAUAAGUAUCCCACCUGGGGAGUACGGUCGCAAGAUUGAAACUCAAAGGAAUUGACGGGGGCCCGCACAAGCGGAGGAACAUGUGGUUUAAUUCGAUGAGACGCGAGGAACCUUACCCGGGCUUGAAGUGCAACUGAAUGAUGUGGAGACAUGUCAGCCGCAAGGCAGUUGUGAAGGUGCUGCAUGGUUGUCGUCAGCUCGUGCCGUGAGGUGUCGGCUUAAGUGCCAUAACGAGCGCAACCCUUAUCGAUAGUUACCAUCAGGUUAUGCUGGGGACUCUGUCGAGACUGCCGUCGUAAGAUGUGAGGAAGGUGGGGAUGACGUCAAAUCAGCACGGCCCUUACGUCCGGGGCUACACACGUGUUACAAUGGGGGGUACAGAAGGCAGCUACACGGCGACGUGAUGCUAAUCCCGAAAGCCUCUCUCAGUUCGGAUUGGAGUCUGCAACCCGACUCCAUGAAGCUGGAUUCGCUAGUAAUCGCGCAUCAGCCACGGCGCGGUGAAUACGUUCCCGGGCCUUGUACACACCGCCCGUCAAGCCAUGAAAGCCGGGGGUACCUGAAGUGCGUAACCGCAAGGAGCGCCCUAGGGUAAAACUGGUGAUUGGGGCU